CUCCUGGGAAGUCCUUGUGUUGCAUCCC
rnacentral:rRNA from 1 species